rnacentral:rRNA from 1 species
AACGAACGCUGGCGGCAUGCCUAACACAUGCAAGUCGAACGAGACCUUCGGGUCUAGUGGCGCACGGGUGCGUAACGCGUGGGAACCUGCCCUUAGGUUCGGAAUAACUCCCCGAAAGGGGGGCUAAUACCGGAUAAUGUCUUCGGACCAAAGAUUUAUCGCCUUUGGAUGGGCCCGCGUUGGAUUAGCUAGUUGGUAGGGUAAAAGCCUACCAAGGCGACGAUCCAUAGCUGGUCUGAGAGGAUGAUCAGCCACACUGGGACUGAGACACGGCCCAGACUCCUACGGGAGGCAGCAGUGGGGAAUAUUGGACAAUGGGCGAAAGCCUGAUCCAGCAAUGCCGCGUGAGUGAUGAAGGCCUUAGGGUUGUAAAGCUCUUUUACCCGGGAUGAUAAUGACAGUACCGGGAGAAUAAGCGCCGGCUAACUCCGUG